rnacentral:rRNA from 1 species
UACGGAGGGUGCGAGCGUUGUCCGGAAUCACUGGGCGUAAAGGGCGCGUAGGCGGCGCGGAUAGUCGGCGGUGAAAGCCCGGAGCUCAACUCCGGGUCGGCCGUCGAUACUUCCGGGCUUGAGCACUGUAGAGGCAGAUGGAAUUCCGGGUGUAGCGGUGGAAUGCGUAGAGAUCCGGAAGAACACCGGUGGCGAAGGCGGUCUGCUGGGCAGUUGCUGACG